rnacentral:rRNA from 1 species
AUUGAACGCUGGCGGCAGGCCUAACACAUGCAAGUCGAGCGAGCGGCGGACGGGUGAGUAAUGUAUGGGGACUGCCCGAUAGAGGGGGAUAACUACUGGAAACGGUGGCUAAUACCGCAUACUAUCGGAUAACCCAUAUGGGAUUAGCUAGUAGGUGGGGUAAAGGCUCACCUAGGCGACGAUCGCUAGCUGGUCUGAGAGGACGAUCAGCCACACUGGGACUGAGACACGGCCCAGACUCCUACGGAGGCAGCAGUGGGGAAUAUUGCACAAUGGGCGCAAGCCUGAUCCAGCCAUGCCGCGUGUAUGAAGAAGGCCUUAGGGUUGUAAAGUACUUUCGGCAGAGAAGCGUUACCUGCAGAGGAAGCACCGGCUAACUCCGUGCCAGCAGCCGCGGUAAUUC